AUGAACUACCCCCUCUACAACCUCCCCACAGCCUGCAGUGUCUGUAUGUUUAGAUAUAUCUCUCCUAUAGCCUGUAGUGUCUGUAUGUUUAGAUAUAUCUCUCCUAUAGCCUGUAGUGUCUGUAUGGUUAGAUAUAUCUCUCCCACAGCCUGUAGUGUCUGUAUGGUUAGAUAUAUCUCUCCCACAGCCUGUAGUGUCUGUAUGGUUAGAUAUAUUUCUCCCACAGCCUGUAGUGUCUGUAUGGUUAGAUAUAUCUCUCCCACAGCCUGUAGUGUCUGUAUGGUUAGAUAUAUCUCUCCCACAGCCUGUAGUGUCUGUAUGGUUAGAUAUAUCUCUCCUACAGCCUGUAGUGUCUGUAUGGUGUGAGAUAUCUCUCCUACAGCCUGUAGUGUCUGUAUGGUUAGAUAUAUCUCUCCUACAGCCUGCAGUGUCUGUAUGGUUCUGAUAAGGGACGUCUCCGUGGCCCUCUCCCUGGAGCCUCUCUAGCUCCUCCACCUCAGCCAAGCUGAAGUGAAACUCGUCCCCCAACCCGGACACGGCUGAGUCCUCACUGCUCCAGUAGUGCUUGUAGGCCAGGUAGGACAGGAACUCCUCAGAGUCCUCAGGGGGGUAUUCUAGGGGGCUGUCUGGUGUCUCCCCCAGGAGGUCAGAGGUAAACGUGGAGGGCUCUGUCAGGGAAGGGGACUCAUCAUGGGUUUUAUCUCCACCCUCCUCUGAGCUGCUUUGGGGGGCUACCUCUACCUUGGAGGGCCACUGCUCUGGCCCCUUACCCCUUGUACAGGGAGACCCCAACACCGACCCUUCGCUGGCCUUGGUGUUGUUGUUGGAGUCAGAGAGGCAGGACAGAGGCAGGAUGGAGGGUGGCACGGUGCAGAGAGAGAGUUCAGGCCCAGAAAUGCUGUGAUGGAUGUCUAGCUCCUUCAGCUGACUCUGGACCUCGUCGUUACACACAGUAGAGUCUGUUCCCAGGGUAAUCUUUAUCCUCCUCAGCGGCGUGGCUUCCUGAUCUAAGGCAGAGGGUUCUGUGCUGUCUCCCUGAAGAGAUUCAGUCUCUGUAGGUUGGGUUGACCCCUGGCCUAUGUCACUAGACACACCCUGUGAGCUGAGGUCAACAAGCAGAUCACUGGUGAUCUCUUUGAAGACUCCUGUAGGGCUGAAGGGGACUAUAGCAUCCUCUGUCUCCUCUGUGCUUGGCAGCCCAAUAUGGUCAGAGUCAGAGAGUUCUGCUAUAACAGUGUUUGUACGGUCAGAGAGUUCUGCUAUAACAGUGACUGUACGGUCAGAGAGUUCUGCUAUAACAGUGUCUGUACGGUCAGAGAGUUCUGCUAUAACAGUGUCUGUACAGUCAGAGAGUUCUGCUAUAACA
rnacentral:lncRNA from 1 species